rnacentral:lncRNA from 1 species
GGUGCUUGAAAUGUGAAUUUUAUCAUUUUGAAUGUAGUUUAGCUUGGUGACUUGGAAAGUGACUUAGUGACUUGAAAUGGAUUAAGUGUAGCUACUUGAAAUGUGAAUUUCAUCAUUUUUAAUGUAGAUUAGUUUGGUGACUUAGUGACUUCAAAUUGAUUAAGUAUAGGUACUUGAAAUGUGAUUUUUUUUUAUUUUUAAUAUAGUUUAGUUUGGAGACUUGGGAGAUGACUUAGUGACUUGAAAUUGAUUAAUUAUAGGUACUUGAAAUGUGAUUUUUUUUAUUUUGAAUGUAGUUUUGUUUGGUGUCUUGGGAGGUGACUUAGUGACUUGAAAUUGAUUAAGUGUCGGUACUAAAAAUGUGAAUUUUAUGAUUCUGAAUGUAGUUUAGUUUGAUGACUUGGAAGUGACUUAGUGACUUGAAAUUGAUCAAGUGUAGGUACAAGAAAUGUGAAUUUUAUUAUUUUCAAUGUAGUUUAGUUUAGUGACUUUGGAGGUGACUUAGUGACUUGAAAUUGAUUAAGUGUAG